UACGGGGGGGGCAAGCGUUGCUCGGAAUCACUGGGCGUAAAGGGUGCGUAGGCGGGUCUUUAAGUCAGGGGUGAAAUCCUGGAGCUCAACUCCAGAACUGCCUUUGAUACUGAGGAUCUUGAGUUCGGGAGAGGUGAGUGGAACUGCGAGUGUAGAGGUGAAAUUCGUAGAUAUUCGCAAGAACACCAGUGGCGAAGGCGGCUUACUGGUCCGGUUCUGACGCUGAGGCGCGAAAGCGUGGGGAGCAAACAGG
rnacentral:rRNA from 1 species